CAAAUAUGUGCACACAGCCACUUUGCCAAGUGUGGGAAAGAACCAGUGUCUGGACUAGUUCCAAGCCAUCCAGACAGCUAUUUCAACUGGAACAAGUGACCUUUGGAACUGACUAGAACAUAACAGCCUGGCCAGACAGAGGGGAGGGAGUAGGCAGUUGGGAAGGACCCCAACAUGUUCUUCUGAAAGCUCAUUUGAAAUAAGAGGACAAUAAAAAGGACAGAAAUAUGAACUUAAAAAUACAUCAAACCAGUAAAAACUGUGUGACCACAAUAUGGGAUUCAAGAAAAGUUACAGUUUGUGUUUUUAGCUGUCAUUCUUUAAUAUACACGCUUAAAUACUUCUCCAACCCCGUGAGCACAGGCCCUGUCCCUUAAUUACAUAACAUUCAUGUUUGAAUCUUCAUAGCCUCUUUGACACUAAGUAACCAUUAUUUUGUUUUUCCUCUAUCAAUUGGGCCAGACUUCCUUAGUCUAUGAUUCUAUGGUGAUUGUUAGACAAACUUCAAUAAUUACUAAGAGAUUUAUUUAGCAAAUUAUUGCUACAAUAGAAGUUAAAAUAAUAGUAAAUAUUUUAUUGAAAAUGAGAUAGUGGUUAUCUUCUCCCAACAUUUAUUUGAAGGCAUGUUGUUCUUUUCUAAGAGAACAUACAAAAUUUAAGUUCACAUCAUUGGCAAGAAGCAUCUAAAUAAAUAUGCAAUCUUUUAAUGAAUGCUUAUGGACAAAGUGUUGUGCUUGGUAACAAAGAGGAAGGAUGUCAAGGCAAUCCUUCCUUCAAAAUGUUUGAAAAAUGGAGAGCAAAGCUUUUUUAAAAAUGCUUUAUUAAAAAUACAAAAAGAAAGCUGUUUCUUAGACAAUGUGUUAUUGAUUUUUAGAAAAUAUAUUAACUAUCAUAAGUUGAUUAUGUCCAAGGUACUGAGAAAAU
rnacentral:lncRNA from 1 species